UUCUAAAAACUUUGAAAAAGCAAGGGUUUCUAUACAACCGUGGUUGAUGCAGUUGCUCCUUUCUCUCCCAUGGUUAUGCAGAAAUCUGAUAUCGGCAUGGCUGUUUGAUCUGUACCAGCAGCAUCGAUUUACGCUAAGCCAUACAAGCAACUAAACUCUCGAAGAAUUAAGGGAUUCGGUUUGCAGUCAACCGAUCUCGGAAUUGAUGGUUUUGUAUACUUAAUUAAGAAUUUGUGUCUAGAUAUCCUUCUUGUUUUUAUUAGCUUCGGAUUGUUUAAGAGCCAUGGAGUUAUGUGUUUAGAUAUCUUCUUGUUUUCAUUAGCUUCGGAUUGUUUAAGAUCCAUGGAGUUAUGCAAGGGCGGUGUAGAAAAAGAUGAAGAUGAAUGUCAAGUAGUAGUUGCAGGGGAGAAGCAGGAAUUUUCAUCUGAUGCAGUUUAUGAGAAUGCAGUUUAUCCAUUCUCUUGUUGCUGGUAUACAAAUGUAGUAAGUUGGAAUCCUGAUGGUUUUGGACUUGGUGAUGCAACAUAGUAAUGAACCAUAAUUUGAUGAACUUUCGAUGAUAACUUUAGGUGAUUCUGGUAAGAAAUCUAUAGAAGGAGAAGUAAUCUGGGAUGACUUGUGCUCACUAUGAUGAGCCAUGCUGGGGAGGAAAGACGUUGAAUUACUAGAAACCUGAACAAAGUAACCUGAAGCAACAGUAGAUGUUUCCUGUGAAUGUUUCUGUUGAAACUGUGCAUCGCAGAUGAUGAGUUUCUGCCAAUGUUUGCUCGUCUUACCACUCAUCAUACCAGUAUAGCUGUAACACAGUCAUUCCCGGAGCUGCAAUUUAAGAUACUUCGUUUAUCAGAAUCAAAGACGGGAUAUGGCCAUCAUUAUGAGGUCUUUGACUCGGCUAACUGGACUUGGAAGAGAUUGGAGUACAUAAAGUUUGAUUGUCAUGGCACUAUGUUAUCACAAAGAAGAGGGAUUUUUCUUUAUGGAGGAUUUCAUUGGUUAACUAAUGUGGGUGAAAUAUUUCUCUACUACGUGGAUCAAUAGACAAUCAAAGUUUCAAGCGAGAUGAAAAUCCAUGCGGAACAAGCAUAUUACAUUGCAAACGAAAAACUCGGAGUUUUGUAUAAUACAAAAGAGUGGACGGAAAUUUGGUUAUUAUAGUGUUAUUCCACCACCAAACCAAUUUGGAAGAGGAAGUUUCGCAUGGAUACUAGAUGGAUCUUUAAAAAUAGUCCCAUUAAAAUAUCUUACACUUUUCAGUUAAAUGCAGCCCCGAAACGGACCCUAACAUCUGGAAGACAAUCCUGAACAGAGGAUUUGAAAGCCCUGAAAAACAACAUCUUUAGCAAGACUGAAUCAGCUUAAAACUUAGACAGAGCUGAAGCUGAAGAUAAGGCGACCCCAUAACCUGAAUAUUGUAAGGUGGUGUUGGCGAGAUUCAAAGGGGUGCACGAACGUAUCUGUAUAAUCUUUAUAAGAAAGAGGAUAGCUCAUUCAUCAUCAUAGGAGAGCUAAUGCCACAGCUAACAAAGAUAACAACUUGGAAAGGGAAUUCCUAGACUACUGAGUGUACAAGGUGGAGAAGCUGACUCCAAUUUCAAUAUAAGGUUCCGUUCUAAUGGUGAGAGGAAAGAGAAGACCUCUAUUAACUUUAGCUGCCGCUGAAGACCAUUCUGUCUAUGGUUCUACUGAGUCUUCAGACUUUAAGGCUGCAGAAAACCUGCAUGAAGGUGGUAAUUGGGUAACGAAGGUACAUAACAACUAGCAAGAGACAACAGCCGCCAAAACUCCCAUAUGAAUCUGAGCUUGAGAACUCCGAUACAGUAUUGGAUUCGGCAAAAGAUAUCCAGACCAGUAGAUGAAAACUAUACUUUCCAUUCAAUUCCAAGAAAAUGUAGCCGAAGCAUGUUUUUAGAAGAAGAACUGCAACGAAAAGAUCAACUAGGCUUAUCGUGGAGAUGGGUCAAUGUACCUAGCAACAACUAAAUCUCUUGUUCCCGAUCAUGAAGGUGCAAGGCUGCAUGCUAUUGUAUCCUCUCCACAAGAAUUUUACUCUAAGAAAAAGGAAAGUGAAGUUCCAGCAAAUUCUGGAGGUUUCUUUUAAUUUUCUGAAUGGAAAUCAAACGUUUGUCUGUUGUGAUGGGUGCAGCAGGAUAUUGUUUCAUUUGCAGAAACCAUAAAGGUGGUUAUAUAUAUGCAAAGUCUGGAGGAUUGGGUACUGCAACAAAUUUCCCGGCUAAAGUCAUGGGCCUCACAUGGUUAUUUGUGUUUCUGAGUAGGCAGUUCUCUCUGUUUGUGUCUUGGUAAGAUCACUUGGGUUGCAAAAUGGAAUAAGGUUUGUACAGCUUUGUGCAGUGUCAAUUUGGUGCAUAGUUAGAGAAAAGUUUAACUUGUCAGCGGAUAAACUGACUAGAGGGGAGGAAGUUGUGCAUAUUGAUAGACCAUCCUUUUUGGUUUGUCUGGACUCCCCUUACCAAUUUUUUUUUUCUUCAAUUUACCUG